CGUUUUCUCUGUCUUUUGUUUCUUCUCUUUUGUGUAUCUGUAUAAUGGCUUCCUUGCUGGGGAUAAUAGGUGCAGUGGAUUGGAUGAUCCCCUCCACAACCAGGCGUGGUGUGUGUGAUGUAGCUAGCCGGAGUGUGUGAAGUGAAUUGGGAAUCAAAAACCGAAAAUCUCCUUCGGUCGUUAUGGGUUUUUCCAGGGGAAAGAAAAUUACUCACG
rnacentral:lncRNA from 1 species